UUUAAACUUAUUCAAGACCACAUUCUUUGGGGAUAAAUAUUUAAGACCCGAUAUUUGAAGAACAAAAAUUCAAAAUAAACACUUUGACGGACACUAGAUGAAAUUUCCACCAAUUUGUAUAAGAGAGAACAGCUUUGGGCUCUAUUACUUAAGGCCCAAAAAAACAUUACUAUUACACAUUUCAGAGUUUGACGCCUCAUUUCCUUUGUAUUAUCGGCAGCUCAGGAUGAGCUUGUUAGACCAACUGAAGUUAUACCAAUAAGGCUCCCCUUUGCUCUUGACUGUCUUAAACAUCUCGACAUAUCUUGGAUUAAUCUGGGAGAGUUCUUUGAUCUUGGAGAGUUCUUUGAUCUUUCAUUUGCUCUUUGCUUGAUAAGAGGCUCCCAAAUUUAGAAGAAGUUGAAUUUAAGGUUGUUAAUGAUGUUAAUUUUUCUUUCUUUAUAUGAGUUUUUGAUGUUCAAAUUUUAAUUCAAGCUGAUGGUUUUUCUUGAACUUUUUUUAGAUGUAUUUUAUUAGUGAUUUGUGUUGUAAUGAGCCUGUGCCGUGGGAUGCUGUUGAUGAGAUUCCUGCAAGCUUCUCAGAUAUGACAUUUAAUCACCUAUGUAUGGCAGGAACUUUAGUGCACCAGACUGUCCUUUUUUAUACAAGUUGAUGUCUUUCUUUCAAUUUGAUCUAAUUUUGUAAAGCUCAUAAAAAAAUAUUGCUGAAGGGGGUUAUUAUUCCUAUUCAAAAGGUGUAGGAGGUAAUGUCUCUCGAUCGUUAAAAGGUUAAGUAAAAGACAAUACAUAAAGGUGUCUUUAAUUUGGUCUCA